UCAACCAGCAUUCCUAGCCUUUGCGCCCUACCUGUCUUCUUCUCCCUUAAACACCUCUAUGCUUUCUUCUAGGGCUGCUCCUUGUGCAUUGGAAAAAUUCCCUGAUAAAAUCCAAGCAGCCAUGACCUAUUCUUCCAUCAACUCCCUCCUCUGCUAUGAAGUUUACAAAACCCACUCUGAUGAUCACGACUAGGCAGUUGACAGACAAGCACACAGCACAAUGGGGCCUAAGUCUGAUUGGGAUUUUGGGGUGCUACCAGAAAGAAUAAUAUGGGCAGCUGCACUGAUGUUUCCUUGUUGGACAACAAUUUAGAAUAGGUACUUAGCAGUCCACUACAAUUUUGGAGAGGCAAUAGUAUUAGUAACCAAACAGGAAACAAGAAACUCUGGCACCCUCUGAAAAGUAUUUCCCUAAGGAACUCCAUGUUAUUCCUUUAAGUCUUCAGUUGUCCUUUCUACGAGAACUGCUUCACCAUAAAACACUCUAUGAAUAAACACUUAACUUGCUAUGUAAAUCACCAACUGUCAACACUGAAAAAAGAUACUGAAAUCCGUUCAUUACAAUGUAUUACUGUACAUACAAGGGCUGUGAUGGGAAAGUAUCAAGGAAAAAGGAAGUCCUCAAUGUGCACAGCAGUUUGUAGAAUGUAACUUCCAGCUGAAGAGAAUUCCAGGGGAGAAGGCCUGCGAAUGAGUGUACUAUCCUCAUGUCCUCUGCAUCAAUGAGCUUACAAGCAGAGUCAAACAAAAUGCUUAAUCUCAAUGCAGUUUAAUAGUUGAGUAUAUAAGAUGAUAACGGAAGCUGUGACCAUUGGGAGAUUUGUACAUGGUAUCCAAUCUAAUUUCACCUGAAAGCGAACCAGUGGCCAGGGCAGAGGUCAAAGGACAAAGGACAAGUGUAGAAUCUUUUUGUCUGGGGACUCUACUUAGAAGAGAGGAAGCCACAUCCUGCACACUUCCUGAAACUUCCAAGAGGUCUUCAAGGUUUGUCUCAGGUAGUAACCACAGAGCACCAAUAACAGUGGUAAGAUUUGUGUCUGAGAAGAAAAGUCCCAAUUUCUUGGCUAAUCAUAAAUGACAGAAGGCAUUUCUGGACAAUUUCUGGGAAUCUAGGAGCUGAGGAUUCUGACUCACUUUAGUAACAGACAAUCACUGAAGUGAAAGUGUGUGCUUAGGACAUGGAUGAAAAUCCACCAGAAACAGUUGUAAAGAAGAAAACAAUCUUUACCUUCUCCUUUUAAAGUACAGUUGGAGCUGCUACGAUCAU